rnacentral:misc_RNA from 1 species
ACGAUCACUAGUGCUUAUAGAUGAUUUAUUCCCUGCAUGCUUUGAUACAAGAUGAUCAUCUACAUGAAACAGAACAUGGUAAGCAAGAUUAUUUAAACCUAAAUCACACUGUUUUAUCCAAUUGUGCAAUAAAUAGAUAUGGAAAUGGGAAAGAAUCGCAGGAAUAUUUUUAGUUUUUGAGGCCACAAACAGUAGAGGGAUAGCAACAGAAUUAUAAUUAAAAAAAAAAAAAUUAAACUCCUCAUUACUCAUCAUCAAUGAGAUUUGAUGCAAUCAUUUGGAUUAGUUUGUUUGAUGUUUUGAAUGUGGAGUGUUUUUGGGAAGCAUCUUCACAGAGAGAUUACUUCAACUGAAAACCCUAUUUCACCUUCAAAUAGCAUUAGCAAUAUUAUGGGAUUUAUGCAUUAACUAAAUUUCAUAAGAAAUCAAGUCCUACAUUUUCUCUUCAAAAUCUAUACUGCCAAUACAACAACUAGAGAAGCUUCUUUCAAUAUAUUAUCCUAGUAAAAACCUUUACUCGUUAUCCCCGUAGAUGCUGGCAAACAGAAACAGAUGCAAAUGGGAUUAUUCAAGCAUAUAGAAGGAUAGUUUCAGAUUUUCUUUCUUCAUUCCUAUCCCUCCACUUUCUGUGCAAUCAAACAUGUAAAACAAGUAACGCAAAUCUCAAUUAUACCAUGAUUACCAGUUUGCAACGAUGCUGAUGCAG